ACAGGGUCAGAUGUGAUCUGCGAGGUCCUGCAAACAUACAGGCAAAAUCAGCAUGUGAACGAAUUCUUCAAAAGGCAUGCAAAAGUGGACGUGAGGCUGUAGCUGUGUCCCAAAGUUGGGUGUGCACACUUCGAAGGCCACGGACUUCGAAGACCAGACCUCAGAAGUGCACGAAGGGUCCUCCGAAGUGCGUGAGAUGCUCCGCCAGGAUUUCCUAAUUCCGUCACCAGGUGUUUCCGAUUAGCGCUCUGUCGCAUAGCAACGGUGCGAGAAGAGCGCUGACGAGAGGACAGUCCUGCCAGGAUAGGAUAGGUGGAGCCAGAAUUGCUUGGUUUUGUUUUUAUGAUUUACUCAUAAUGGAGGAGACGGUGAUGAACCUCAGGCUUAGCCAAGACCGAGGCCAGAGCAGACCCCUGUACUGCAGGAUAAAGCUGAAUGUGGCAGUGCUGGACAGGUGUUUAAUGGUUUUGUUCUGAGCAGGGAGACCCUGACUGUGCUGCUGGAUCUACUGGGAAGUGAACGGCAACAGUGAUGGUGUGCCACGAUCCAGACCCUGGUGUUUCUCUUCUGUCUGCCAGCAGUACAUCAUACAGAUGGUCUCCAGAGUGUUUGACACAUGCCUCGUUCCACUGUCACUGCACUGUCCUCUGAGUCUCUGAGGAUGUGCUGGCCAUUUACCAAGAAACUGACCUCCUGAAGACCCCAGAACACAUGGAGGCAGGGCCAGGCUCAACCUGAUGUUGUUUUUCUGAUGUUAAACCUAAGCUAUGUUGUAAAUGGUUGUAAAAAGUACUUUCUAUUAUGUAUAGAACAAUUUGUUUUAAUGUGUAAAAAAGUAUUUACUGG
ensembl:lncRNA